rnacentral:rRNA from 1 species
CAGCCGCGGUAAAACGUAGGUGGCAAGCGUUGUCCGGAAUUAUUGGGCGUAAAGGGCUCGCAGGCGGUUUCUUAAGUCUGAUGUGAAAGCCCCCGGCUCAACCGGGGAGGGUCAUUGGAAACUGGGAAACUUGAGCGCAGAAGAGGAGAGUGGAAUUCCACGUGUAGCGGUGAAAUGCGUAGAGAUGUGGAGGAACACCAGUGGCGAAGGCGACUCUCUGGUCUGUAACUGACGCUGAGGAGCGAAAGCGUGGGGAGCGAACAGGAUUAGAUACCCCAGUAGUCCCUGUCUCUUAUACACA